UUGUUUUUUUUUAUACGAAGAGACUUAGGAAGGGGUUGCCUCCCCCUUUUAUCCCAGCAGCUAACUUGAGUGGGGUGGCCUGGUUCUGAGGAUCUGGUAAUGGUUUUUGCAAAGGCUCUUCUGCCCAACUAGAGACUCCAGUGAAAGGCACAUGGGAUUUGAUUCAUGAAGAAAGCACACCCCAGUUCAGCGCUUUUAUCAACCCCCUUCUUUAACUUUCACUUGAAAAUUACUUCUCUGGCAUUAUACUUUUCUCUGUCCCCAAAUGCUAUGUACAGAAGUUUCUAAACUACAUGUCCUUAGUAAGCAGUCUGUUCUUUGCAAGUACAACUGAGUUUAAAAACAAACAAAACCCCAAACCCUACUUAUGAGGGUUUUUUUCCUAACUCAAGAGCUGUAAUCCAAAUUAUAAAAUCUUAGCAACUGACAUUCAAGAUUUUUGUGGUGUGGUGCUCAUUCAUUCAGGUAGGCAUCAUUUUAAGCAAUAAGUGGAUUCGGAAGGAUCUUUUUACUUAUUUGGGGGUGGGGGGGGGAAGGGGAAGUGAAUCUCAUUUUAAAGUUAUUGCUUGCAAACAAACAAACAAAAACCCAGAGGGUUACUGUGUCUUUUCUGUGUUUGCUGAUGUGUUCUGGAAUCCUAUAUCUGAAAACUCCUAGAAAGUUUUAACAGAUUUUUCUGUGAAAUAAAGGUGGAGACUCUCUCUGGUAACUCCUUGUUUGGCAGUGAAGUGGUGGGGAAAUGCCUGUUGCAGAAUUCUUAAUCAGGCCUCUUAUAACUUUUUUUUUAUUUUUAAUGUCCAGGAUUGGCCAACAUGUUACGACUUUUUUCUUUUUUAAUUCUAAAAAUCUUUUGUGGCUUAAUGCACAAACCAUCAACCAUGGAGGAGAAUAUUUGGAACCAGAUUUUAAAAAUUAACAACAUUCUGCCACUUCCUACUUUAAACUUUUGUCCCUAAUCACUACAGUAUUAGAGAGGGAAGCACUAAAAUUAAAUGUAUAGACUCUGCCCCCCCAUCAAUGAAUGUUGGCUUCAGUCCUGUUUUUCACUAAUUGUAGAAUGUAUAAAUGUUAUCCAUUUGUAAGGUUUUUAAUUCUCUAUCUUUUUUAUACUGUUUAAGGGGAAGGGACUUGGAUUGAUUUCUUUGCUACCACAUCAAAUAUACUUUAGUUUGACAGCCUGCCUCUGUGUUUUGGAGAGGAACUGGGAGAGGGAGAAUGUAAGGGUGCAAAUCAGAAGGCAUUCUAAUGAAUUGUACUGAUAAGAGGAAUAUUGAUACAAAAUUCCUUACCCCACAGGCUUAAAAAACAAAAACAAAUCCCAUGAAUGCUAGAAAUAAUCGGCUCCUAACUUGAACUUUUCUUAAUUUUACUAGUAGAUUUCAGAUCCUUUGGGCUGAAAAUCUGGUUUGAUCAAAAUCAACAAAUAUUGACUUCCCUCCUCACAAUUCAGUGUCUCACUGGUAACUGGAGGGGAGGACUUGUGGCACCUUAGAGACUAACAAAUUUAUUUGAGCAUU